CGUAACUAUGCAAUGACUGCUAAUAUUUUCAUGCCGAAUCUCUAUACGGAAAUUGCAAACCAUAAAAACGCGUACAGCGUUCUCCUUUAAUUGAAAUACUCGACGGUAGCCAUAACGUCAGUAAGAAAUCAUUCAGUAAAAUCAACCUCUCGCUAGAUACAUUACCACACAUCACAGAAGCCUUCCUGUAAGCAGUGCCUGUGUUUGGAGAAUAAAAUUGUUCAAGGGUGAUGCUGAGUUCAAGCCCACGCUUUUAGGACAUUAGGGAAUUAGCUUAGUUAGCAAUCCUGAAUCAGAAGAACGCAGCUGGUGUUUUUAUAAUAUGUUUCUCGUUUGGAACUGAAAUAUUAUGCUUUCCCCCCAUUUGUCAUUGGAUUUCUUUGGGGGGGGGGCUACAAUAUAUUUCACAAGAACCAGAAAGCUGAAAGGCUCAACUCCUGAAGAGGAAAACUCUGUAGAAAUCAGACAGUUAGCGAGCUAGCUAGCUAGCUAGUUUAACAGACAUGCUAAGAUGGAAGAGGAACAACGCGUAGUCUGGCUGAAUAGCAAGACAUUUAUUUAUUUAUUUAUUUAUUUAUUUAUUACAUUUUUGAUUUAGAACUUUUUAAAAAAACCCUCGUCUUAUAUCCCUCGUGAAACGCUUGAACAUGGCUGACGUUUUUCACAUUCUUGCCUUGGGCUCCCAUCACCCUGUCGCUGGUUCUCCGGUUGUACCUUCCUUGGACCACUUUUGGUAGGUACAAACCACUGCAUACCGGGAAGAGCUCACAAGAUGCUCAGACCCGGCCGUCGAGGCAUCACAAUUUGGCUCAUAUCAAAGUCACUCAGAUCCUUAUGCUUGCCCAUUUUUCCUGCUUCCAACACAUCAACUUUGAGAAAUGACUUUUCACUUGCUGCCGAAUAAAUAUAUCCCACUCCUUGACAGGUGCCACCGUAACGAGAUAAUCAAUGUUAUUCACGUCACCUGUCAGUGGAUUUAACGUUAUGGCUACUCCCUUUAUAUACUUGUCUAAUGUUAGUUACGCUACCUACAAUUCAUUUCUCAAUAAUGAAUAGACACUAUUCACCGUGACAGAAAGCGAGAAUGCCAAGUCAGGGACUUUCAAGCGGGAAAAACUGAAUCGAGAUGAGAGUACCAAAAAAGAAAAAAGAAAAAAAACAUAACGAAGGUGAGAUGAGGAGAAGGGGGUGGGGCUUGCUCUAGGUGUUUUUCUUUGUAUAUGUGUAUGUUCAUCCUCGAUUAUUUAUCACAUCUGUGGAACACUGCAUGAGUUAUCUACUGUUAUACAAAUGUCAUUCAGCACAGCUAUUCUUCAGGCUCAACUGCCUCAAGGGCCGCCACAACCUUUAAAUCCAUCACACACACACAAAACUACAGAGCUUUUUCUAUCUGAACCAACACUUCACAAUACAAUUAAAAUACAAACGCAUGAACUGCUCCAUGCCUGUCUAACAGCACACACACACACACACACACACACACACACGCACACAAAAUGCAAGCGACUAAGGUCAGUAAUUCAGCUGCCACAGAUCACAUCCAAUCAAAUCCCAGUCAAUUCCUUCGAGGGUAGAGAAAAGACGUAGCCUCCAUUUUAAAGAAAGUUAGAGACAGGGCAGGUCAGUGAAUCUCCAGCGCGUUACGUUUGGCAUAAAUAAAUUCAGCCCAAGACGAUGCAAAAAUUCAUGUUCUAACACGAGACAGCUACUUCAAUGCAUGACAGGAAGUAGAGAAAAAAAAGUCGGGAGAAAAUGUACAAACGCUAACCCUGAUUCUUGCAAACAAUUCUUAGCUUUUCAUACAUUUGCAAUACAUGACUGGGGGGGGGCGGGGGGGGGGGGGGGUUUCAUGCAAAAUCAGUUGUAAAGUCUGCCUACUCGGUGGCCAUCUUGGCAAACCAGACAGGGUUUGAAAUGGUCGCCACGUGUAAAUAAUGAAAAAUGUCAGGUUUCUCUGGCUACUGUUCAAUAACACCAGAACACAGGAUAGCCUGUUUGUUAUAAUGCUAGUUAGUAGAUUAGUCUGUUUAUUAUAAUGCUAACUUUCGAGUUAUCCUGUUUACUUUGAAGCUACUUUAUGCAGUAUUUAGCACCUAUAAGAUACAAUGUUUACUAUAAGGUUCAUUUAUGUUUUAGCCUGUUGUACUGUAAUGCCAUUUCUAGAGUUAUCCAGGUCACUGUAAUGUAGUCCAUGGGUUAGCCUGCUUACUAUAAUGCUAGUAAUACAGUUAGCCUGAUCACUAUAAUGCUAAUCCAUAGCUUAGCCAGUUUACUGUAAUGCUGGUUUAUAUUUUAGCUUGUUUAAUAUAAUGCUAGUUUAUAUUUUAUCUAGUUUACUAUAAUUGUAGGACAAGCUCUUUACUGUAAAACUAGUUCUUGGGUUAGCUGGUUUACUAUUAUGGUAGAAUAUAUUUUAGUCUUUAUACUAGAAUUAUAGGAUAGUUUAUUUUACACCUAAUUUAUGAUUUAGCAUGUUUAUUCUAAUGCUAUUUCUAGAGUUAGCCUGGUCACUAUAAUGAUAGCCUGUUUACUAUAAUUCUAGUUUAUGUUGUAGUCUCAUUUAAUGUAAUGCUAGUUAAUACUUUUACAUCUUUUUAUAUGUCUUUUUAUAUAAUGCUUGCUAGUUUGUGGGUUAGUUCAUUUAAAUGAAAAAUGCUAGUUUAUAUUUUAAUUUGCUUACUAUAUAAUGCUAGUCUGUAGGUUAUCCUCUUUAAUGCUAGUCUGUAGGUUAUCCUCUUUACGAUAAUGCUAGUCAGUAGGUUAUCCUCUUUACGAUAAUGCUAGUCAGUAGGUUAUCCUCUUUAAUGCUAGUCUGUAGGUUAUCCUCUUUACUAUAAUGCUAGUCCGUAGGUUAUCCUCUUUAAUGCUAGUCUGUAGGUUAUCCCCUUUACUGUAAUGCUAGUCUGUAGGUUACUGUAGCCUCUUUACGAUAAUGCUAGUCUGUAGAUUAGCUCCUUUACUACAGGGCUAGUUUCUAUUUUAUUUGUUUACUAUAAUGCUAUUUUGUAGGUUAGCUCGUUUACUACAAUGCUAUAAUCAAUUUGGCAUAAUAAACUGAUUAACCCAAAUGAUCAAUCCAAAUACAUCUCUGCAGGAGUCCACCAACCACUCACUGCCUCGCGUUGCAGUUUUUGCAGAUAUUCUAAUAAUUUGUCGGUUUUCAUGGUUCAGAAAUAGAACGGCCGGUAUUUUUAUGCCAGCAUGCAGAAUGCUGAAAUUGAUCCCAGGAGCUUCUGUUCUAUUUAACCUACUUAAGCAUAAGCGUGUGCAGAAGCCUCAGGGAUUUAACAUUUCCAAGUGUCAAAAUGAAUUAAGCAUCACAGAUACUACUUAAAUCUCUCUCUCUCACUCUCUCUCUCUCUCUCUCACACACACACACACAGAGUAAUAAAAGUUUGUAUUUGAUAUUUAUGCGCUCGGUGCACAGGAAGAAAAGAGAAAUGGAGAAGCAACCUUGGGAAUCCCUUAAUAUUUUGAAUUUUGAGUUGUUGAUGACGAUCAUGUACACAGAAUGGGAGGGAAAGGCAGGGAGGAAAUGUACUUAUUUUCAUUUUUUAAAUACGUGACACCAUUACACUUCACUUGUCCCUAUGUAGCUUUAAUUCACACCUAAGUCUCUCCUAUCAGAUUAACGAAGAGAAACACAGGCAUUUUAUCAUUAUCAGUGGUUGCCUAGGGACAGUGGAUGGAUGAUCACCGAGCGAUGAGCGUGAAGAGGUGCUGUGCGGUCAGACAGCAGACUGAGGUCAGAUUCAUUUUCCUGCCUGGUCAAUAAACACCAACAUGUCAAGCCAUCACACACAACUCCAUUGUUCAUUUCACACAAACUCAUUUAGAGUGUGUCAGUCCAAAUGGUGCUACAGUCGCUUCAUUAAUCCCUGAUUCACUCUUCUCAAACUUCUGAAGGCCUUGAAUUUUCAGAACGGUAGUACUAUCGCCAUGAUUUAUCAGGCUAGCCAUUCAACAGGAAGUAGUGAGGAUGCGGCAGUUUUCGGUGAUGAUACAGAAUCACACCAUCUCAGCAGAUUGCGAGUCGAGAUUAGCGGCCUUAAAAGGGUAACACGAUCCUCUCAUCACCGGGGACAGCCAAUGCCAAAGUUCUGUCAGUGUCAGAAAUGUUUUAUUCAAAUCUCAGCUGCUAUGGCGCUCGUCUAAAAGCCACCAAUAAGAGGACAGCAGUAGCAGGAUUUAACGAAACUCACACAGCUACAAACAUGGGAGCUGAAAUGGUGAAGCGUAAACGAAACAUGGGACGACUCUUUGCUUUUGUAAAAUGUUUUUACUAGACAUAACAUCGUCCGGUUUGGUGAAAUAAAUACUUCUAGUUCUUCAAGCUGAUGUGUCAAGGUUAUAGACAGUCCAUUACACAUACAGUAUACAAGACAAUAAAUACAAAAAGUACAAGACAUUGUGUGCAGACUGUAAUCACAGAUAAUAAAAAUGGUCAAUUAGCCUAUUAUUGUUCUUGCCUUGAGCAGUGCAGAGAUAUGAAAUAGAGCCGCAUGAUAUUACACAGUUCACAGAUGUAGACUGUUGCCCUAAUAGACUUCAGUGAUGUUCAUAUCUGCAUAUCUUUGCACUUCAGUCUGUCUGCAGGGAAACCGGAAAGCAUCGUCGUACAGUACAAGUAACCUGAUAAAACACCUUACGGCAUUUAAGCAGCAUCUUUAAUAGACAGUGUGAGGAUGUAUCGGGAGCAGUAUCAGUGAGCGUAAUCGUUCAAAAUUAGAACAUGGUAUCAAAGAAACAUCAAUCCCGCCGACCAUCCAUCCAUUUUCUGUACCGCUUAUCCGACACAGGGUUACAGAUGAGCCUGGAGACUAUCCCAGGGAACUCGGGGAACAACGCAGGGGACACCGUGGACGGGUUGCCAAGCUAUUGCACGGCACAAUCGCACACUACGGGCAAUUUGGAAAUGCCAAUCAGCCUACGGUACAUGUCUUUGGACUGGGGGAGGAAACUGGAGUACCUGGAGGAAACCCCCGAAGCACAGAGAGAACAUGCAAACGCCACGCAUACAUGGUGGUGGCAGGAUUCAAAACGCCAACCCUGGAGGUGUGAGGCAAACAUGCUAACCACUAAGCCACCGUGCAGUAUAUCACAUACGAUGAUAUUCUAUGUUACCAUGUAGUAUUGGUCCUGUAAUGAUGCAUCCCUAAGUGAAACGAUUAGAUCGAUUCCCAUUACAAGUGGGUGUUUUUCUUGUCAGGCUUUUGAAAGUGCAAAUUCAAAAAGCCGACGGAGACCCCAUUCAUGCUUGGCUUUGGUUUGUCUGUGCGUAGACUAUGAGCAUGCCUGGCUGGAGAGUCGUCGUCAGCAUCGGUAUGACAUCAAUAAAUGGUGAGUCAAACAGCUAGCUACUGCGCUUGAAAGAGCGACAAAACACUUUUAGACUAAUGGCAAGCCAAAAACGCAAUGCCUAAUGCAGGAUCAAGCAUGGACCAAACAGGAAAAGCAGGCACUUAUACCCAGUCAGUCAAACCUGUCACAGUCCAGCCAAUCGUCUGUAAUGUAUUUGUGUCAGUAUCCACUCUCGGCCAUGUUCUGAUGAUGGUUUUGCAGUUCUGUCCUCUGACACACUGGCCACUUUGUAUUCAGCAUGGGAGCUGCUGCCGUUAAUUAGCCUCUGUCUGUCGCUGAGCAGAACCAGCAUAAAUCAAGCCUGCUCUUGCCAGGCCUCAUUAGGGCGCUUUGAGUGACGCUGAGACGGCACAAGGCCAGGCGUUUAAGUCGGAGCACACCCAGCGCUGUUUUUACAGCUCACUUCAGAGCAAUGGAAGGAUGGAGCGGAACGGAGGGGAGGGGAGUCCAAAUGGACUUUUUGGCAAAUGGUUUUGGCGAAAAUAAAUAAAUAAAUAAAAAAUGGGAGCACUUCAAGCACUUCGCUUCCAAAUCUAGCCGGAUAGCAGAUGGAAUAGGAUUGGGGUUAGGCAAAAUUUUCGGAUCGGUUACAGCAAUGGCGUCUACUGUGUGCUAAUAAUGGCCCAAAUUAAUUAUGGCUGGUGUUGAUAUUAGAUGUGAGGGCGAAAAUCUAACAUCUAUCAAUAGCUCAACAAUAAAUCUAGGUCUCAUCGAUGGCAUAAUACGAACGAUAUGGAGCAAAUGAUCACACACAUACACACACUUAACAGCAAAUAGUCAUGAUUUCUAAUUUCUUUCAAAGAGUUUCCGGUCUCUAAAGUGUCCGUAGUGUAUGAAUGGGUGUGUGAGUGUGUAUGUGAUUGUGCCCUGCGAUGGACUGGCACCCUGUCCAGGGUGUACCCCGGCUUGUGCCCGAUGCUCCCUGGUUAGGCUCCAGGUUCCCCUGCGACCCUGAAAAGGAGUAAGCAGUUGAAGAUGGAUGGAUGGAUGGAUGGAUGAGUUUCUGGUCUGUAGUAAUGCCCUACUAGGUUCAUGCCAUAUUUCCUUUGCAGAACAAACAUGAAAAAAGUUGUAACCACAAGCCACCAAAACACCUUCAUUGCACCUUGGCAUCAAUUCUACACGUCUCUGGAACUGUACUGGAGCAUUGAACACUGCUCUUCCAGAAGAUCCUCAAUAUGGUGUUUUCAUAAUAGUGGUGAAGAGCGCUGCCUACUGUAAAGCAUCGAUCCAAAAUCUCCCAACCUGGGUUGAGAUCUGGUGACUGUGAAAACUAUAAUGUGAUUUAUUUCAUUUUCAUCCUCACCAAACCAAUCAGUGAGUAUCCCUUGUGUCACAUGGAUUGAGGGCAGAGGCAUCCUGGAAGAGGCCAUUCCCAUCAGGAUAGAAAUGGAAAUGUAGGAUAAACAUUAAAUCAAUAAUUGCCCUCCAGAGCAUAACAGAGCCACUGGGCACUUUUUAAAAAAAAUAUAUUAUUCCCCUUUAAUUUGUCAUUCAUCUGUAUUGUCUAAUUAUAAAUGUGCAAAGAAUGCAAAGUCUUCACUAACUGAUAACAAGAAAACAGAAUUACGUCUUGAUUGUCCAGCGAUUCAUUUAUUUAUUUUUUUAGUUACUUUUCUUUGUUUCUCAACUUGUUCAGUCAUGCCAUUUGAUGUCUCCAAACUGUGUCCAAACUUGACAUUCAACCAAACCAAUGUUUCUGUGGCAACCAGAAAGGAGCAUGAGUCAUGUGGGGAAUGAGGUGGCCCACUAAACUGGAGCUCCACAUCUCAUGGGCUGGAUAUCACCUCAGAUAUCCAAUAACACUCAUCAAAAGCUAUCAUGAAAUGUCACUGCUUAAGUUUCGAGAGGUGUCCAUUACAGUAUAUUGAACAUUU
ensembl:lncRNA